AGCUGAAAUCAUAUAAAUACUGAUCCAGUUUUUAUUUAUUGUUAUACUAAUUUCUUUCUUGCAUUUGGACAGAUCAUGAAGCAUCUUAAUAUUUUGUUGGGUGUGGUUGCCCUAUGCGGUGUUACUUCAGAAAGAAAUUAGUAUAACAAUAAAUAAAAUUAAAAAUGACAAAAUAUUAUUAUAUUACGUACAAUUUGUAAUCAGUACCUAAUCGAUAUAAUGUUAGGUCUACAGUGCUACAGUUGCGAAAGCCCAUUCCCAGAAGACCAAUGCCACACUGCAGGUACCAACCAUGCUACGGUUACAUGUGCAUCAGGAGAAAAUUACUGUGUUUCGUUAUACUUCGAGGCCGCUGGUGAAACAUUUGGCGUCAGAGCAUGCAAGACAACCAAUCUUUGCGACCAGAGUGUUACUUUUAAGUCGUGUAAUUCCUGUACCACUGAUUUAUGUAACACGGCGGCCAUAGUAGUUCCUUAGAUUAGAAUAAUGGCAUGUUCUAAUGUUUGAUCCUUUAAUUACACAGUUAAUACCUAUACCUAAUUGCAUGUGAAUGUUGGUAUUAUUUUACAUAUUUA